CCGCGGUAUUUUAACCGUGCGAAGGUAGCGCAAUCACUUGUCUCUUAAAUGGAGACUGGUAUGAACGGCAUCACGAGGGCUUAGCUGUCUCCCCUCUAAAGUCAAUGAAAUUGAUCUCCCCGUGCAGAAGCGGGGAUAUACUCGUAAGACGAGAAGACCCUAUGGAGCUUAAGAUAUAAAGUUCAACCCACGUCAAACACCUCUUAAAAGAAUAAACAAAAUGGACCUUGCUGAUAUAUCUUCGGUUGGGGCGACCACGGGGAAAGACAAAACCCCCACAUGGACCGGGGCACCCACACCCUAGAACAUAGACCCACAGGUCAAAUCAACAGCACUUCUGACCACCAGACCCGGCAUCAGCCGGCCAAUGAACCAAGUUACCCUAGGGAUAACAGCGCAAUCCCCUCCCAGAGUCCUUAUCGACGAGGGGGUUUACGACCUCGAUGUUG
rnacentral:rRNA from 1 species